CCAGGCUCCUAAGACGCAGCUUCCAUACUCGCCGCGUUCUCAGCUGUUGGUCGUAUCCUAGCAACGGCCCUGGCACCACCUCUUCCUGCCGGAGCACGGCAGGGGUGGGAAGGAGAGGAGCCAGAGGCGGGUGGGGGGGAGGAGCCAGAAGAGGGCAGCGGGGAGGGGCCGGGAAGGAGGAGCGCGGCAGGGUAGGGGGAGGAGCCAAAGACUGGGGGCGGGGCCGGGAAGGAGGAGGGCGGCAGAAGAGAAGGGGAUGAGCCAGAGGCGGGGAGGUGGGGCCGGGAAGGAGGAGUGCGGCAGGAGAGAAGAGGAGUAGCCAGAGGCGGAGGGGCGGUGUCGGGAAGGAGGAGCGCGGCAGGAAAUAAGGGAAGGAGCUAGAGGCGGGCUGGGGGCCGGGGUCUGGAAGGAGGAUCGCGGUAGGGAAGAAGAGGAGCCAGAGGAGGGGGAUGGGGGCUGCAAAGGAGGAACGCGAUAGGGAAAAGGGGGAGGAGCCAGAGGCGAGGGGGCGGGGAGAAGAAACAUGGCAGGAGAAAGGGGAGGAGCCAGAGGCGAAGAGACAGGAAGAGGGACGCGUCAGGGAGAAGGGGAGGAGUCAGAGGCGAGCGGGCGUGGAGGAGGGAAGCGGCAGGGAGAAGGGGCGGGGCCAGAGGCGAAGGGGCGGGGAGGAGGGACGCGGCAGGGAGAAGGGGAGGAGCCAGAGGCGGAGGCUGUUACCAACUGGCUACCUAGAUCCAAGUGAAUCAGGACACUAACUUCUCUCCAAGAUCUUUUACACUUGUGAAACGGCACAGCUCUCUAAACCAAACACUGACAGCAGUUUAAUUUUACAGAUAUAAAAAAAAUCCGAGUCAGAGAAAUCAUCACGAUGAAGUCAGAGGCGAGAAACUGUCAGUGUAUACAGAGUCUUGCUCUGUCGCCCAGGUUGAAGUGCAGUGGUUCGAUCUCGGCUCAAUGCAACCUCUACCUCCCUGGCUCCCGCGAUUCUCCUGCCUCAGCCUCCUGAGUAGCUGAGAUUACAGGCGCCCGCCACCACCCCCGGCUAAUUUUGGUAUUUUUAGUAGAGAUGGGGUUUCACCAUGUUGGCCAGGCUGAUCUGGAACUCCUAGCCUCAAGCAAUCCGCCUUCAAAAGUGUUGGGGAUUACAGGAGUGAGCCACCGCGCCCGGCCUAUCAAUGAAUAAGAAAACUUUUAAAGAACCACAGGAUAGUAUUGGAGGUCAAGUCAAGUAUGUUCCUCUUGGAAAUUUAGUAACAAACUACAUGUUGCUAUCUCAUAAUAGCAGCUAACAUUUAUGAAGUAUUCAUUGUCAUGAGGCACCGUACAUAGAUUUCUAAUUUAAUCCUUACAACGAUUUUAUUAGGGAGAAACUGCUAUUAGACCCAUUUUGUAAAUGAGAAAACUAAGGCACACAAAGUUUAAUGAGGGAACCAGGAUUAAACCUAAGCAAUCUAACUCCAGGUCCCAGAUUUUUUAACCAUUACAGUACUGUUUAAUUUGAUUUGAUAUGUUAAAAGGAUUAAUAAAAUUAAUACAGGUCCAUUCCCUUA